AUUUUCAGCUGAAAAAGUCAUGAACAUAAAAGUUGUAGAGCUCAUCAACACAUACAACUUUUAUUUUGGUCAUUUCUUUAUCUAAUAAAGUGAUAGUAAUAUUGUUCACAAAGUUUACAUAUCUCUCUUAUAGUUUAUAGAACCAAAUAAGAUAGAUGUAGAUUUUGUUAACAAUAUUACUAUCACUUUGUUGGAUGAAGAAAUGACCAAAAUAAAAGUUAUAGAUCUUGAUGAGUUAUACAACUUUAUUGUCGAUGACUUUUUCAGUUGAAAUC
rnacentral:pre_miRNA from 1 species